AUACGGAGGGGGCGAGCGUUAUUCGGAAUCAUUGGGCGUAAAGGGCGCGUAGGCGGCCUGGCAAGUCAGGGGUGAAAUCCCUCGGCUCAACCGAGGAACUGCCUCUGAAACUGUCAGGCUUGAGGCCGGGAGAGGGUAGUGGAAUUCCCAAUGUAGCGGUGAAAUGCGUAGAUAUUGGGAGGAACACCAGUGGCGAAGGCGGCUACCUGGACCGGUUCUGACGCUGAGGCGCGAAAGUGUGGGGAGCAAACAGGAUUAGAAACCCUAGUAGUCC
rnacentral:rRNA from 1 species